UAAAGAGUAGUGUAAUGGAUGCACGAAGAGUUUUGAUCUCUUAAGCUGAGGUUCAACCCCUCUCUCUCUAA
rnacentral:tRNA from 1 species